UCUAUCGUAUAUAAACCUACAUCUACUUUGUGAUUUAAGUAGAAGCGUAAUGGUCGUGUUAAAGAAAAUCGUCUCUUAUACAAUUUUCAUAACGGCCGCGAAUUCGCAUAACCGUAAUAAUACGGCCCGUCAAAAGGGAGAAGUUUAUUAUGCGCCAUAAAUGGACUUAAAGUGCGGACAGUCUAACAGUAAGUGCUCCGCUCCUGGAAAACGAAAAAUGGCGUCUUACAUACCCUAAUGGAAUUUCGGUAUAAGUUCAAACGACGCAUCGGAAUUACACGUUACACGGAAGAUCAGUGGCCCGUGAACCAGUUGUGUUCUACAGUGUGACAUUUAUACGUGGAAAGUAUGAAAAACUUGUUUAAAAAAUACAACUUCUUUCUUCUGCUACAUGUGACAAUGGCCUACAAGAUACCUGUGAUUGAAACGGGAAACGAUAAAAUUUAUAGAGCGAUCCAUAAACUUAUGGCAGUAUACUAUAGGGAUACUCAUAACAUAAUUGGUAUACAAGGAAAUAAUUCCAAACUGUUUAAUGAUAUUUUGCCUCAUAAACAAUUUUACAUACCCAAACUGAUAGCAAAAAAUAGUACCUUUGUCAAGUGGGAGGAACAAGUUCAAGGACUCAUUAUUUUUCUGGACGAACUGUAUACUUUUGAAAAAAUUAUACGAGGUUGGACGUCCUGUCAUUUUUGGAAUUCUAAUGUAAAAUUUCACAUAAUCACUGAAAUUACUUCAGCGAACAUUUCCCAAGCAGCGUGCAACAUUAUGCGAAAGUACAAGGCGGCAAGAGCUGUGCUGGUUCAGAUUCUGACAGUUGAUAUUAAAUUAUACAAAUGCGAUUUAUUUAAGAAUCGAGUGGUUUCCCUUGACGAAGCUGAAUUAACCAACGGGAGAGUUUUCAAAAAUAUUCUUCAAUUACACGGAUACCCUGUGAAAGUGACCGGUCCAAAUGUCAGAAACUCCAGGAUGAGGUACAAAUCGUCAAAUAUCGAAGAGCAGUAUAUGCAGAUAAUUAUUAAUAAGUUGAACGCGAGCAUUAUUGCAGUGCCAUGGCAACAGACACCCUCUAACUCGUUGAGUCAGUUGAGCCAUCAGUCAGACUUCCUGCACAUCUUUAAAUUAAACAUGACCGAUAUAUUAUUCGUGAGCACUUUCGUCCAUACGAAUAAUCCAUAUUAUCAGCAUACGUAUCCACACACGGAUUCUAAGAUAAUCCUGAUGGUACCAAAGUCCGGUGCGAUAUCCCGAUUAAAAGUUCUUCUGCAGCCAUGACAUCACUCCACCUGGUUAUUGUGCUUGGGAGGAGUAAUAGCAAGUGGUGCUAUCUGGUUGCACAUUCGACGACGGGGAAAACGGCUUGUAGGUGGCGACAUCUUCUCCGUAGUGAGUCUUUCGAUCUUGCUAAGAAAAGACCUGAGCACCUUCUACGAUAAAUGCUUCUUCAUAUACAUAGCCGUGCUUGGGAUAGUCAUGAAGCACACGUUCCAAGUGUUUCGUCAUAUAAAGUACAUAAGCUUGGAGGACGAGGAAGACCUGUCAGCUGGUCUAUAUAGAAAAUACAAUCCCAGGAGUAUGUACGAAGUGGCGAAAAAGUUGAAAAUGAAUGACAAUAGCGAAGCUUAUGCAAUUUCACGUGAUGACGCAAAGCGGCUGCAGCAGAAACGAGAGCACAGAAGUCCAACGGGUGUUCCUUACUUUCAUCAAAUGAACAUCAAUGUUUUACCGACCCUCGAAAGCUUCGCCGUGAACUACGGUUCCCCAUAUCUCGAACGUGUCAAUCAGCUUAUCUUGCAGAUCAAAUCAGCUGGUCUUGAAGUUCAUUGGAAUUCUAUAUCGUUUGUCGAAGAGAGUCGAAAGCAUUUGAAAGGGCAGAAUGCCGUGCAAUUGUCAAUGGAGCACAGUGCAAUUGUUUUCUCUUUUCUCAUAAUCGGUCUUACUAUGAGCACACUGGUCUUCUUAGGAGAGAUUGUUUAUUUUAAUUCUAAAAGUAAAAGAAGUUUUAUACAUUGAACCAGUCACGUGAAUGUCAAUGCACGUGUUCCGCGAGUCUAAAUCAAAUGCCUUUUUCUCAAUAAUUGGUCUCGUACUUGGAAUGUACACAAGGAGCUAGUAGUCUACCUCCAGUAUGGCAUCCGUCCUGGAAUGCAUUCCAAUUCGAUAGACAGUGCAAUAUUCUUGCUCCAGUGGGGCAAUAUUCCAGUCCACUUCACCAUGCCGAGGAAAACAAGACUUUCAUUACUCGCCGUCAAAGCCGUCUGAGCGAGCAGAAUAAUGCAAAUCGUGCAUAAGGCCUCUGGCUUAAUGCUACACUGUUAAUGAAAAAAAAAGACUGUGCCCAGAGCGUGCCACUCAAUGUGUGCGAUUGAGAGCCGUUCGUUUUCUACCAAUCUGCAGAGUCUGCCCGGACUGCCGCUAGUUAACGAUACUGGGCUAAAGACAUUUCCAGGAAGGAAGCCACUUUCUAGAGAGUUUCACGGAAAUGUCAGAGGAAUUGAUAUCCUGAAGAAAAGUUGCGAGGAAAUUGUAAAAAUUCAAACCAUCAAUGUUUUACAAAAUACUAACCUCUACUGUAUCUAUAAAUUGAUCGAUAGUAAUCUAUAUAUUUAUCUAGAUACAACCAUUACGUUAAUUACGUAAAAGUGAAAUUAUUGCAUCGACUGUUAUUCAUAGAACAAAGUAACUUCUGAUUGGUGGCACUACAGGCGUUCGAUAAUAUAAUUGGACUCUAUUGUGGUUCAGUAACGGAGACCGUGCGAUCGACGCCCUGGUCUUGUUAUUGUGCGCUGUCGUUACUGGAAAUAUCUAGACUUCAUGUGCAUCUCUAAUUUCCAAGGAACCUUUUACGCCCACUGAAUACAGGACUAUAGGACUGGAUCGAAUUCAAUCC